GGGGCUGUAGCUCAAUGGUAGAGCACUUGCCUAGCAUGCAUGAGAGCCUGACUUCAAUCCCCAGCGGUGCAG
rnacentral:tRNA from 1 species